CAGUAGCCACGGUAAUACGGAGGGUGCAAGCGUUAAUCGGAAUUACUGGGCGUAAAGCGUGCGUAGGCGGUCCGUUAAGUCUGUUGUGAAAGCCCCGGGCUCAACCUGGGAAUGGCAAUGGAUACUGGCGAGCUAGAGUGUGUCAGAGGAUGGUGGAAUUCCCGGUGUAGCGGUGAAAUGCGUAGAGAUCGGGAGGAACAUCAGUGGCGAAGGCGGCCAUCUGGGACAACACUGACGCUGAGGCACGAAAGCGUGGGGAGCAAACAGGAUUAGAUACCCGUGUAGUCCCUGUCUCUUAUAC
rnacentral:rRNA from 1 species